ACAAAAUUAAUGUUCCAUAGUAGUUUUAAACAUGUAAGGUGUGAAAUCACUAGUCACUAGUGAAUUAAUGCAUUUAAAUUUCACAAUAGGUUAUUGUUGUCCAAAAUGUGGUGCCACAUUAUUUUAAUAAAAAUGAACACACAUGAGGCAUGCUUUAUUGCAAGUUGCAACCUUGGACUUAAACUGCCAGGGUAGAAGACGGACAGUCCUGAGUUUUUGCCUAGUAUUUAGACCUGGCAGUGUAAGCCACCUAGGUUCCAGGCCGAGGAAAUGGGGCACCUGGAUGGAAGGCACUGCCUCUGAUCCCACCUGUCUGGACUAUAAUCAACUCCUCUCUAGUAGCAUAGGGUUUCUCCUUGGAUGAGAAAAUUUUCAUGUUUCAUUUUCAUGAUUCAGUAACGGAGUUUGAGACUACAGUGGAAUGGUUAUUGAGUUUGCAGAUCUCGUGACCUUUGGCUUCUCCGUCAGCUGAACAUUUUCAUGAUUCAGUAAGCAGAGUUUGAGACUACAGUGGCAUCAUGCUAGAGGUUUUUUCUUCAUCGACACCCUUAAUCAUCUACAGGACAGGGUUUAGGAAUCUGGGCCAUGUUUUAGAGGUAACUCCCUCAACUUCACACGAAUCAGCAAUUUGGGCUUCUUGCUUUGAUCUGGUGCAGCAAGAUGAGGGCAGGAUCAUCUUUUUAUAUUGUUACAUUUUUUCCUCUUAACUUGUUUUGAACUAUGCAAGGUUCUGAAUAGAACUCGAUUGAGUUUGUUACUAACUUUAAUGCAAUAUUUUGAUAUUGUUUUUGUACUUGCAGAAUUAACUGAGUCGAUGGUUCCAUUAUUCUCAAAACGUUCAGUUAUAACAUUAAAACUUCAGGUCUAAUAUAUAUUACUAAGUGUUUAUUCGUCUAACGAUAUCUGAACUUUUUUCAUAAAAUAUUUGGUUUUGUUGUUUCUCGUACUGUAAAACGCCUCAGAUAUCCGCAAUGAAUUUGUUGCAAAUGAGAUUUUUUUAUUUGGUGGUAAUCUCACCACACUUCUAAACAAUGGUGCAACCCUAGGCAAUUAAUGAAAGGAACACUGCCUGUCUCUUACUCUCUUCUAUCCACUAAGGCUGUAUCCAGGGCCUCAACCAAAUGGUACCAAGAAUUCUGGAUCUGUCUGGUCAAGCAAUUUUGCAAUCGGUGACAGGAAGCUCACAAGCAGGUCAAGUACCCAAGCAGCUAGUCCAAGGUCUCUAGUGCUUCUAGUAAUCAAUGGUGUUCAUCAACAUUUGCACACAUAGUUGAACUAGCUUCAGUGUUCACAGAUAACCAGUGAUUUAGAAGAUA